AAACAAUGACAAAUCGCAAUGCAAAAAAAAAUAUAUAUUCCGAGUGGAGAAUGCAAGUGCAUAGUAAUUCAUUACAGUCAGGCUUAUAAACAAUACGAAUAUUUACGUACAAUUAAUUUUGUUCCAUUACAAUAAUCAUUAACGUUCAGUAGAGACAUUCAUUUUUACUAAAAUGAUUAACUGUGUUCAAAAAAAAAUAACAUAGAAUAUAAUAUCAAAUAGUUGUGUAGUAUUUUUAAACGUGUUUUACCGUUUUCGUAAAAAUAUCCUUAAUACUUACUUAACGAUAAAUACAAUUCUAGUAAAAAAUAAAUUAUAUAAUUUUACUGUAAGCAGUAUUAGUAAAUAUUCAAUCUGUUCGGUGUUGGUUUAAUAUGCGUAAAUUAUGAUACAUACUUUUCUUUUUUUUUGAAUAUGUUUUUAUAAAAGUAUUUAAAUGUAGACAUUUUUUUUACCAUUGGACUUUUUUUCGUCGACAUUUUCGAUCCCGUUACAGCUAAUAUAAUUUAAUCGACCGUGGAAUAUGAUAUUAUUUACCUACCUAUCUAAAUACGCAAAACGGAUAAAUGAUGACAAAAUAGAUAUACAUUUUAUAGAUAUGCAGGUAUAAUAGUGACAAUAUUCAUAGAAUGGUCAGCAUCAUUACUUAUUUUGGUACUUUUUUCUAUUAUACUUGUAGACUAUAAAUUUAAUCAUAUAUUAAUAUAAUAUGAAGUUCUAUAUAUUCCGCAUUUUCAUUCGCCUAUUUGUUCGGGACAUGUGUAAAUUAACGACUAAAUCGGAAUAGGAAAAACUAUGUACCAGAGAAAAAGACCGGGUAAGAAUGAAUUGGGGGGCUGGUGUUACACCAGUGGUAUAAUAACUAUACUGCUACAGGGUAUACAAUGUGUGUGCAAUGUGUUUAUAAUAUCACACAAUUGCAGAAUCACUGUCAAAAAGUCCCAUUAAGAGGACGUGAUACCCAUUUAGUAUGUCAUUUCUAUUUAACAAAUGCAUGGCAUAGGACAAUUUGCGUUCAGCAUGGAUAAUGAAUUGACCCAUCAUCAAAUUUAAAUGCAUAAGAACAUUAUCUGUAUUUGUAUGUCAUUUUUUUCCUCGAUAUUUUAGUUAUUAAACGAGAUUCGAGUAUGAAAAAUAUCAAAAUUUAAAAAUGCCGAUAUCUCCCUUAAAAAU